CCUACGGGAGGCAGCAGUGGGGAAUAUUGGACAAUGGGGGGAACCCUGAUCCAGCCAUGCCGCGUGUGUGAAGAAGGCCCUCGGGUUGUAAAGCACAUUCAGUGAGGAAGAACGCCUGGUGGUUAAUACCCAUCAGGAAAGACAUCACUCACAGAAGAAGCACCGGCUAACUCCGUGCCAGCAGCCGCGGUAAUACGGAGGGUGCGAGCGUUAAUCGGAAUUACUGGGCGUAAAGCGCGCGUAGGUGGCUUGAUAAGCCGGUUGUGAAAGCCCCGGGCUCAACCUGGGAACGGCAUCCGGAACUGUCAAGCUAGAGUGCAGGAGAGGAAGGUAGAAUUCCCGGUGUAGCGGUGAAAUGCGUAGAGAUCGGGAGGAAUACCAGUGGCGAAGGCGGCCUUCUGGACUGACACUGACACUGAGGUGCGAAAGCGUGGGUAGCAAACAGGAUUAGAUACCCCUGUAGUC
rnacentral:rRNA from 1 species